rnacentral:sRNA from 1 species
GUAGCAAAUGGUAAAUACAAAGGAGGUGUCUAAUCCAAUGGGUGCAGGCGAAUACGAACAAGAGAUCAGGGGAACAAACAGCAACAAAAAGAAGGGAGUAAAAUCAAAUAGAAAAGAACACACAAAACUGAAGCUCCGAUGAUGUCAUGAACAAAGUAGAACGGGAUAUUACUAUAUAGGUAUUUAGUUAGUCUUGGGUGCACGAUCGAAACCGUGUCAUAUAAUGGCGUAGACUUCCCUUCUUGUCUUUUUAGCCAGGCAAGUCGUUCUGUUCAAGAUGGAAUAAACAAAACCAAAUGGAGCAACGAAAAUAUAAAUAAAAAAAGAAAGCCUUCAAAGAUGAGGAUUAAAAAAUUAAUUAGACAAACAGGUAUAAAGAAACGGGAUAGUGUCUGUGUACAGGGUAAGCGAAAAAUCAAGGGGAGAAAACGUGAAACAAAGAUAAGUAAAUUAGACAACAGUCACAGUACAACAGUAAAAAAAGGGUUUCAAAGUGGGGUGUGAAAAUACGCCAAUGCUGAACAAUUUGAAAGAUUUUCUUUUCAAAAAAAAAGACGAAAAGAGUGGGUCAUUGGCCAGAAACUGAGUUUGAGGGCUUCCAAUCCCAAAGCCACAAAGAUACUAGCAUGGGACUAUGGGGAGGAAGGAUACCGGAAGACCUCGAGAAUGUGGGUUGGGGGCGACAGAGAGGGUAUUGACUUGGAAGAGAAAAGAAUAAGAUAUUAUAUGAGGGGGGGAUUGGCGGAGUUGAAAGUGUCAGGAAAACCUGGCUUUGGUUUCGCGGUUGGCUUGAGUGAAGAAGCCAACGCGGGAAGUGAGGGAGGGCUCACUCGACCAGAGUCAGAGCGUGGAAUUAAAGUUCAAGAGGUGGGGAGCAAGGUGGAGUAAGAGAGUAUCCGCAGAACCUCCACGGACUAGAAGAAGACAACAACGGCUGGCAGGGGAACAGACAAUACGAGCUUAUUUGCCGCUGCUCUUGCUGCCGCCAGGUCCAACCGUGAAAUAGAUCGCAAAGAAAAGUACGAGCACAAGAAUAAUGAGAACCACUAUGCCCAGACAAAUCCACUUCUUCUUGUUGCGAGCCCUUGCCUUCUUGAUAGCACCGCCGAUUUCCUCAUUACCCUUUGUUAUAUUAUUAUGGAUCUGUUCGGUCUGAUCAUCGAUUCGUUCAACAGCGGCUUCCUGCUGGAUGACAAUAGCAUCGAGAUCCUGGAACAUCUGUGAUAGUUCCAGCAGGUCGCGCUCGAUCUUCAGGAUCUCGUCGUGUCUGGCACGCACCAUCUGUGAAACUUUCUGUGCAUCGCCGCGUCGGUCGCUUUGCAUAAGAGCCUGGCUGAAUAUUUGUUGUUGCGAUGGGUCCUGGACAGCUUCUUUUACCUCCUCAUCAGUAGCAUCAGGACGCACAAUUCGGUACUGUCUUGCCAUUUGCGCCUCCAAGUCCUUGCGGAAAUCAGACUGUACGGCAUGGAAAUUUGUAAUGGCGGACUUUAGCUUCCGCUCGACCCUUCCGAUCUGAGCGCUGUUGAUGCUCUCCCCGGAACCAGGAGUCUGUUUUAUGCCCUUCAAGCGUUGGACCAGAUUCUGGUAAAGGCGUUUCGCAUCGCUAGCUAAUCCGUCUGCCUGCGAACGAAUGGCAUUCUCACGGGUGGGAUCCGCAUCUGUGAGCAGACGUCGGUACAAGCCUUGGAUCUGCUCGAUGUACCUCUCUACCUCAUCGAUACCCUGUUCAAUAUCUUUACAUUGGUUUAGGAUCGCACGCUUGUCGUUUGGUUCAUCGUAGCCUCCUUGGAUUGGCGGGUCAUAUUGAGACAUUUCGUAUCGACCGGCACCAGCUUCGACAUCGUUAUUGUAUCUAUUGUCUUGUCGAGAGCUGUACGGAUCAUAUUGGCCAUAGCCUUGGCCGCCGUAGUUAUUAUUAUAACUCAUGAUGGCGGCAAAACGACGUUGAGCAGAAUAUGGCUUGAUAGAUGUUUUUCAAUUGUCGAUGCGAUAGAUAAGAUGGCCGAUCAAAGAGGAAUAUUUUGAGUUGGUGGGUGCUGGUGGUGAGAGAGAUUAAAUAGGGUGGGAAAUACGGAAGUAGAGAUUCGUCUCAAAAAAAAGAAAAGGGGUACACGGGACGAGAAUGCGAAGCACAACCUAGAAAAGCAGAACAAGCGGGAAGAGGAGAAUACACAGAUAUAAAAGGGACGAGUAAGACAGUCGAAGAGGACCAGGGAACAGAGUUGAAGAGACGAAGAGGCGA